rnacentral:lncRNA from 1 species
GUGGUGAGUGGUGGGGUCAGGGGUCAGAGGUCACAGGGUGAGUGGUGGGGUCAGGGGGAUGUGGGGUGAGGGGAGGUGGGCUCCUGCUGCUGCAGGCGCUCUGCGGGGUCAGAGGUCACGGGGUCAGGGGUCACAGGGGGUCAUGGGGCAGGUAGUGGGGUCACAAGGUCAUGGCAGUGUAGGGUCCUGCUGCCGCAGCUGCUCUCUGGGGUCAGAGGUCAGGGGUCACAGGGUGAUCAGUGGGGUCACGAGGUCAUGGGUGUGUAGGGUCAGGCUGCUUUGUGGGGUCAGAGGUCAUGGGUCACAGGGUCAGGGGUCACAGGGUGAGCAGUGGGGUCAGGGGUCGUGGGGAGGUGGGGUCCUGCAGCUGUAGGCGCUCUGUGGGUCAGGGGUCAGAGGUCACAGGGGUGAAUAACGGGGUCACAG